CAUACUUCCAAGAAAAGCUUGCACUGUCAUAGAUAAAAAACGCCUGUACCAUAAUCGACACAGGUGGGUAGGUAGAGUAUACUAAGGGGCGCGAGAUAACUCUCUCUAAGGAACUCGGCAAAAUAACUCCGUAACUUCGGGAGAAGGAGUGCCUUAUUCGUAAGGUUGCAAUAACAAGAUCCAAGCAACUGUUUAUCAAAAACACAGGUCUCCGCUAAGUCGUAAGACGAUGUAUGGGGGCUGACGCCUGCCCAGUGCCAGAAGGUUAAAGAAGUUGGUUAGCAAUUGCGAAGCUGAUAACUGAAGCCCUGGUGAACGGCGGCCGUAACAAUAACGGUCCUAAGGUAGCGAAAUUCCUUGUCGGGUAAGUUCCGACCCGCACGAAAGGCGUAAUGAUUUGGAUACUGUCUCGGAGAGGGGCUCGGUGAAAUAGACUUGUCUGUGAAGAUGCGGACUACCUGCACCAGGACAGAAAGACCCUAUGAAGCUUUACUGUAACUUGAAAUUGAAAUUGGACUUUAUUCGCGCAGUAUAGGUGGGAGGCGUUGAUUAUAAUCUUGUGGGAUUAUUGGAGCCAUCAGUGAGAUACCACUCUUGUAAUGUUAGAUUUCUAACUUUGAAUCAUUAUCUGGUCAAAGAACAGUUUCAGGCGGGCAGUUUGACUGGGGCGGUCGCCUCCUAAACGGUAACGGAGGCGUACAAAGGUUUCCUCUGAACGGUUAGAAAUCGUAUCUAGAGUGUAAAGGCAUAAGGAAGCUUGACUGUGAGACCUACAAGUCGAGCAGGGACGAAAGUCGGUCUUAGUGAUCUGACGGUACUGAGUGGAAAGGCCGUCACUCAACGGAUAAAAGUUACUCUAGGAUAACAGGCUGAUCUCCCCCAAGAGUUCACAUCGACGGGGAGGUUUGGCACCUCGAUGUCGGCUCAUCGCAUCCUGGGGCGGUAGUACGUCCCAAGGGUUGGGCUGUUCGCCCAUGAAAGCGGUACGCGAGCUGGGUUCAGAACGUCGUCAGACAGUUCGGUCCAUAUCCGGUGUAGGCGUUAGAAUAUUGAGAGGAGCCUUCUUUAGUACGAGAGGACCGAGAAGGACAUACCUCUGGUGUACCAGUUAUCGUGCCAACGGUAAACGCUGGGUAGCUAUGUAUGGAGUGGAUAACCGCUGAAAGCAUCUAAGUGGGAAGCCCACCUCAAGAUAAGUAUUCUCAUC
rnacentral:rRNA from 1 species